UGUAUCGGAAGCCUGACGAGGAUGAGAACCUCCGGGGGCAAGAGGUUCGACUCGAGCGCAGCGAGAGAACGUUGCGUCAGCAACGGCCCGCAGGG
rnacentral:sRNA from 2 species